rnacentral:tRNA from 1 species
GGGGAUGUAGCUCAGAUGGUAAAGCACUCGCUUAGCAUACGAGAGGCACGGGGAUCGAUACUCCGCAUUUCCA